AGGUGAACCCCAAAUAUUCCGUGCUGGAGUCGGAUUUCACCAACAACGUCGUGCGCUGCCACAUCCACUACAGCGGGCGCUUCGCCGCCGCCUCCAACUGCCGCCUGGCCCAAUCCUGACGGCAGCCGAAUCCCAGGAACGUCGCCCGUCCCCUUUCCCGGGAUGUCCCCGAGGUGGCUCCGCUGCGUUCCCAAAAUCCCCCCUUUUCCCAAUAAAAAGCGGGGAAGCCA